UCCAAAUUAAAGGUGCUCCGGGGUCGGCUGAUUUUACGGCAACAGUGCUACUUAUCCAAACUAAAGAUGUCACCGGUUGCCUUCACAGUGCUAUUUAUCCAAACUGAAGAUGUGUCGGUGGGAAAAAGAAACUAAAAAUCUAAGGUUGUUGAGAGGUUUCACGUAGAGUGAGAGUUUGCGCAGGGCAGUUUGUGUGUUGAAUUGUAGGCCUUUGAAUGAUGCACUCUCCUAUAUAUAUUUAGCAGCGAACCUACUCUUGGCUGAACCAGAGAUGUAUCCAGACUAAAACUCCCAAAUCUAAUCUGAUUAGGAUUCGGCCAAUCCUAGUUCCAAUAGGUUUCUGAACCAAGCUCUGUAAUGAAUCAGAUUCACUCUCGAAUUCUCAACGCCCUUAACUCUGAAAACCCCAUUAUUGUACCAAGACUUGACUUCUUCACUCUUAUCCAAAUCAAUCCUUCUUGCAACAGAACUCGGCCGACUUGAUUGGUGACUUAUGACAGUUUGGACGACCCAUAGUAUUUUCAGAAGAGCAUUGGACCAAACACAAACCUAAGCUCGGCCUAAUAAUGUUAUUUUGGGCCCAAACACAUAUAUAUAAACAACAGAGUUGGCGUGGUGGUGAAGUGAUGGCGUAAGAGCAUACGUAUAUCAACUACCAAAAGGAAACUCGAAACUUCUUCGUCAAGAUACAAUAUUCUAGCAAAAUGUAUGCAGUGGCUGGUAACAAUACUCGUACUGUAGAUGCAAAUUUCUUCCUCCUUGAUCUUGGUAAAAAUAGCACCUACAAAACAAAUAACACCUUAGGUCAAGGCCAAGAACCUCACAUGUUGGAAAUGUGCCCUAAAACCAAUCAUAUG
rnacentral:lncRNA from 1 species